rnacentral:lncRNA from 10 species
CUUGCAGACCAUUGGAAUCUGAAGCUCCCAUCAGCCACUACAUCUGUGAACCUGAAGAAGACCUGAAGUACCUGUUUAAAAGACAGCCAAAAGAUAGGAGAAAUCUCAGGAUUGUCCACCUUCUUUCAAUCCGCAGAGCCAAGCCAGCUGCUAAGAGCCAUAUAGGCUGCUGAGCGCCAUGCCGAGUGUUGAGACCUGCACCAGCUGCUGAGAUCUGCACAUAUGUGAGAUUUGUGUGCCAACAUAUGCAUGCCAGUUGCUGAGGACCAUGUGUCAGCUGCUAAGAUCCCCCCUACACCUCCCCUUUUCUUUGCUCUUAGCUACUUUCAGGCAUUCCAACUAUGCAGGUUUUCCCAACACUCUGAAUGAGGUAAGACAGAGUGUUCAAGUGUUCUGGGCACUUCCCAAGAUUUGGUCUCUGGGAAGUGCCCAGGAAAGCUGAGGAAGUUGUGAUCAUACUUAGCUCUCUCUUUUCCCUGGGGGAGAAACCACAGGCUGAGGGAACCUCUCUAGGCAUGGAGCUGUGAUGGCCUGCAGAAGGGAUAAUGUGAGUAAAAUAAAACUGCUUUUCUUACCCAUUUUAAUACAGUGCUCUCAGUUUUGUACUUUUCUCGGGCACUGCAACUUCUUCAUUGAAUUCUACAAUUCUCAAUAAGGCAUGUUGAUACAUGUAUAUUUGCCAAGUCAGUGUUUUUAUACAGGAAUUCAUGCUGUGACUUCUUAUUCUGCUAUCUUGCCAAUGAAUUCCGGUACAUUUUAAUGCAUGCAUACAAGGUUACAAAACUAUAUUUCCAUUUUGUAGUUUCAAAGCUUAUGUAGAAAGUCUGAAAAAAAAAUUUUCCAUAGGCUAAUGUAUAAUAAUGAAUGAAUGCACUAUUUCCUUGCAUAAUAUAUUUGGUAAUGCCAUAACUUAAAAUUACAACUGACUUAGGAUCAUAUUUUAAAGGCAUAUUUUUAAGUCUCAAUAAUAUAAAAGACAAGAUAAUGACAUCCCUUUUUAAGGGCCUCCAAAAGCUUAGUAAAUUUUAUUUUAAACUGAUUUUAAGGAUAUAAAAUGAGACACAAAAGGCAGAAUAUAAAACCAUGUAUACAGUAUUACCCUAAUACACAUAUACGAGGGAAAAAAAUCAUACAUAAAUAUAAUAGUGGUUAUCUCCGGUAUAACUAAGGUGAUUUUUAUUUUCUCACUUGUGCCUUUUGGUACUUUGUAUUAUAUAAUAAAAUAUUGUGAAGAUAUUUCUUAAUAACCCAAUUAUUAUUAUGUUUUUGAUAACUCGAGAAACUAGA